rnacentral:rRNA from 1 species
AUUGAACGCUGGCGGAAUGCUUUACACAUGCAAGUCGAACGGCAGCACGGGGGCAACCCUGGUGGCGAGUGGCGAACGGGUGAGUAAUACAUCGGAACGUGCCCAGUCGUGGGGGAUAACGUAGCGAAAGCUACGCUAAUACCGCAUACGAUCUACGGAUGAAAGCGGGGGAUCGCAGGACCUCGCGCGAUUGGAGCGGCCGAUGGCAGAUUAGGUAGUUGGUGGGGUAAAGGCUCACCAAGCCUUCGAUCUGUAGCUGGUCUGAGAGGACGACCAGCCACACUGGGACUGAGACACGGCCCAGACUCCUACGGGAGGCAGCAGUGGGGAAUUUUGGACAAUGGGCGAAAGCCUGAUCCAGCCAUUCCGCGUGCAGGAUGAAGGCCCUCGGGUUGUAAACUGCUUUUGUACGGAACGAAACGGUCCUUUUCUAAUACAGAGGGCUAAUGACGGUACCGUAAGAAUAAGCACCGGCUAACUACGUGCCAGCAGCCG